GACGAACGCUGGCGGCGUGCUUAACACAUGCAAGUCGAACGGAAAGGCCCUGCUUUUGUGGGGUGCUCGAGUGGCGAACGGGUGAGUAACACGUGAGUAACCUGCCCUUGACUUUGGGAUAACUUCAGGAAACUGGGGCUAAUACCGGAUAGGAGCUCCUGCUGCAUGGUGGGGGUUGGAAAGUUUCGGCGGUUGGGGAUGGACUCGCAGCUUAUCAGCUUGUUGGUGGGGUAGUGGCUUACCAAGGCUUUGACGGGUAGCCGGCCUGAGAGGGUGACCGGCCACAUUGGGACUGAGAUACGGCCCAGACUCCUACGGGAGGCAGCAGUGGGGAAUAUUGCACAAUGGGCGGAAGCCUGAUGCAGCAACGCCGCGUGCGGGACGACGGCCUUCGGGUUGUAAACCGCUUUCGCCUGUGACGAAGCGUGAGUGACGGUAAUGGGUAAAGAAGCACCGGCUAACUACGUG
rnacentral:rRNA from 1 species